GUAUUUCUCUCGUUCGGGCAAGACACUAUAGUAAGGCAGACAGCAAGACAGUAGAAAAAGGCAGUACUCUUCAAAGACCAAAAUAUACCUUGCCGGCGGCGAGAUAUCAGAGGCUUAAUCCAAUGGCCGAUCACGCCGGCGAGCACGAUUCAGUUGUUGAAUCGGUGAUGGAUAAGAUCACUGAAAAGUUGCACGGCCACGAUUCGUCGUCGGAUUCGGAUGACGAGAAGCACAAGGAGUCUCCAGUCGAAGCCGUCAAGGCUAAGAUCUACCGUCUUUUCGGGCGUGAGAAGCCAGUGCACAAGGUCCUGGGCGGUGGAAAACCUGCUGAUAUUUUCCUCUGGAGGGACAAGAAGGUUUCUGCUGGUGUGCUUGGUUUUGCAACUGCUAUCUGGGUGUUUUUUGAAUUGCUGGAAUAUCACUUGCUCACACUAGUAUGCCAUGUAUUGAUUCUUGCUCUAGCAAUCUCUUUCUUGAUGUCAAAUGCAUCGACUUUCAUUAAAAAGUCUCCGCUUCAUAUCCCAGAAGUCUACAUUCCUGAGGAUAUUGUCCUUGGUGUGGCUUCUGCACUUAGAAUUGAAAUCAAUACAGCUUUAGCUAGCCUUCGAGACAUUGCAUCCGGGAAAGACUUGAAGAAGUUCCUUGGAGUUAUUGCUGUCUUGUGGUUGUUCUCAAUCUUGGGGAAUCUCUGCAACUUCCUUACAUUGUUUUACAUAAGCUUUGUGUUGCUUCACACUGUCCCCUUCCUGUAUGAGAAGUAUGAGGAUCAGGUCGAUGCUUUUGCUGAGAAGGCUGAGGCAGAGAUCAAGAAGCAAUAUGCAGUGUUCAAUGUAAAGGUUCUCAGUAAAAUUCCCAAAGGCCCCCUGAAAGACAAAAAGUUUGCUUAGUUACACACAAGUGACUUAGUGAGUUGGUUCAAAUUUGAUGUUUUCUUCUUCCAAAUGUUUUUUUUUUUUUGUGAAAAUACUUUUAGAGUCUAUGUACUGGAUUUGUUUUUGACUUGAUUAUCUGCAACAGUUUACAAUUCUAUGGCAUAUUAUGAGGUACUUGUGCUUUUUGGUCUGCUAUAAUUGUUGUUGGCAGUCUACUAAACAUGGUAGAGUAUCUCAUUUCUGGUGUUGAAA